UACAGAGGGUGCGAGCGUUAAUCGGAGUUACUGGGCGUAAAGGGCGCGUAGGCGGUGGGAUGUGUGUGAUGUGAAAGCCCUGGGCUUAACCUGGGAAGUGCAUCGCAAACUUUCUGACUGGAGUAUAAGAGAGGGUGGCGGAAUUUCCGGUGUAGCGGCGAAAUGCGUAGAGAUCGGAAGGAACGUCAAUGGCGAAGGCAGCCACCUGGCUUAAUACUGACGCUGAGGCGCGAAAGCGUGGGGAGCGAACAGG
rnacentral:rRNA from 1 species